AGUAGCACGUUCUUCCCCGCAGGGAGCUUGGAGCGCGAGCGGGUGGAGACCUCGCUGAGGAUGCAGGACCUAACGGGGAGCAAGGCGCACCACAGGUCUCCAAACCCCGCAGCCGGCGCGGAAUUGCUGCACUGUCAUUGCCGGCCCACGCACUGUUCUGGCUGCGAGCGGUCCCCCGCCCACACCGGCGCUUCGCAGGCGCCCAGAUAGAAAUGGGUCGCCCGGCUGGUAAAGAGGCUGCUCUGCAACCCUGGGCUGGAGUAUUGCUGUGGUCCCGGAUUUCUGGACUUUUGCGUUCUCAAGUGGCGACGUGUUCCUCAACCUGGACCCACAUCAGAAGCAGGGUCUCCCAGCCCCUAUGGAGCGGCGCGACAAAGUAAUUGUUUAUCCUGGAAAUAGACUGUUAUUUUAAAAAAAUGUUCUCAG